CCUUUUGAGGCACGUGGCUCUUUCGGUUGGGUUUUCGAUCACAUAAUCCAGUAGGUUGGCCAGUGUCCCCGGCCCCUGCCUGGAUACAGUCCGCGCCAAACCUCAGCGUGGGGACCUCGUCUGGAAACGGGGUCUUGGCAGGUGCAAGCAAGUUAAGAGGGGGCCUGGAAGGCAGACCGUGCCGCCGGUGGUGCCGGAGGCUGUGGGCUCCAGGGACCCGAAGUGCAGGCCACAGCGUCAGGUGCCCACAGCCCCUGGGUGACAGUGACUGUGUGCCCGAUUGGCCAAGGAGGUGGACUCGGGUGCCCCUUACCUGGAGGGAGAACGAGAAAGGCCAGGGCGCAAGAUGAUGGACAAUCAGAAGCUAAGGAACAGCAAAGAGGAGGGAGGCGGGGCAGGGAAGCCAUGGGUGCUCGAGGGGUGCGGGGGGAGGAACAAGGCCGCAUGUGGGGGCUCCCACCCGCCUCCCCGGACGUGCCCCCUCCUGUAGCGAGCCUGCCCCCCGCCAGAAGCCCCGCCGGGUCCUCGCCAGCUGAGAACCCAGCCCUGAUCCUCGCCGCUCAGACCCCAUGUCCCCAUCUGUAAAAUCGGGGGAUUUUGCUUCCGAGCCACCAUGCCAGUCAGGCCGUGCGCCCCUGAGAAGCGUUUACGGGGAGCCCGCGGCCUCCUUUACAAGCGGGGAAAUAGUGACGCGAAAGGUAACUGCUCGCCCGCCACCGGCCAAGCGAGCAGAGCCCGGCCUUCGGCAGAACCGUCUGGGUUUGUCCGUGUGCUAACGGCCCGGACGGAGCUGCAAGCCCUCCGUGUGCUGAUAGCUGACCCCCCCGGAGCCGGGCCCCAAGGCAGGGGGCGCGGGGGACAGGAGGCCGCCUGGGCCUAUCGUCCCGGGGUCUGGAUGCCUUUCUAAUUCAGGGCUUUCCUUAAAUGGUCAAACGCGGCCUGGUGGCCACCGACCCCGUUAUCAGCCCUGUGUUCGAUCCCCUGCCACGUCCCGCUGUCCCCGGGGCACGUCUACAGGUGGGAAGGGCCGCUGUCCCCCAGCCCCGGGCGGCGCACGGCUGCACGACGUGGCCUGGGACGGAAACCGCUUCCUCUGAGCGCUCAGGGCCUGACCCCAGCCACGCAGGGCCCUGGAGCACACCCGGCCUGGCGGGGGGUGGGGUGGGGGGGACAUGCCUGCUGGCAGCUCCAGCAAGUGACCAGACGUGUGCCCGUCACAGCGACAAAGUCACCUCCACGCCUGGGGCCCUGGGAAAGCAAGCACGUUUCUGAAAUCAGGGAAGAGCCUGAUUGGAAAGAGCAAGUGAUCGAUCUCAAGGGCUCGGAGCAGAGCCCGCGCAGGCAGAGAGAGAGGCGGAGACACAGAGGGAGAAGCAGGCUCCCUGUGGGGGGCCCAACGCGGAACUCGAUCCCAGGUCAUGCCCUGAGCUGAAGGCAGAUGCUCCACCACUGAGCCACCCGGGGGCCCCUAAGGUAGGUCCUUUUAUGGGAGCUCAGGGGACCUCAAUCCUGAGGAAGAGGUCAAGGUGCCCCCCAUCCGGGUCACCCAAGGCCGGUUCAGAGCAUCACCACAGCGGCAGGAUCCUGGCUCCGAGGGAGCCCCUAACGCCGCCCUGCCCGUCUGCCUCUGCUGCUCCUCCCCGGCACCCCUCCGUCUCUCUCAUGGCCCCCGACUCCCACUGGUGACCCCAUCUCUACCCCUGAAGGGGAAGGUGUAGGCGUCUGGCUUCACAUCACCGUGGGACGGGUUGCCCCGCACCCCCCACCUGUUGCCGUGAGUGUUGGGGGUACUGCCGAGCCUGGAAUUCAAAGCCCGUCCGUCUGCAGUGGUGCCACCGGCCACCUGCCCCUCGUUCAGCCCCUGGCCUGUGCAAGACGAAGGUCCAUGGGAAUGAGCCGCCCCCACCCACCUGCACAUCCGGUCGCCCGCCCACCUCCCCCCACCCCCUGCCAUCCGCCCUCCAAUCUGGGGCAUGUGCCGUGGCCAGGGAUGGGGAGAAGAGGGGCUGCAUCGGGUGCCCUGGGGCCUCGCUCUACCCUCCCAGGAAGCCCUGGGAGUGCACCUGUGCAGAGCCCCGACUCGUGCCGUGCUAACUCUCUUGAGGUGCACCCUCCUUUCUGAAGAGGGCCUCCUGCCCAAGCCCCCGGGAGGAGGCCGCAUCAGCCAGCUCCGAGGCACACUCCUGAAACAGCCCGUGCCCCAUCUGCUGAGUCUGCCCCCAAGCUCAUUCCCCUGGCCAGGGCAGCCCGCUGGGUCUUGACCCUUUACUUUCUGGAAGCAUCUUCCCAGUGGGGAGGACAGAGAAAGCCGCGUUGGUCAUCAAAGUAUUAAGAAGGGAGAGGCCUCGGGACCGCCAGGGCUCGGAGGCUGGCCGGGCCUCGAGGGGGUGGACGUCCUUGCAGGUGUCCUCGCUCCAUCUGCAGUGCCAGGCGCCAGGAGCCAAUAGUCGGGCCACCUUGUGCCAAGCGCUGAGCUAGAGGUGGGGGGCGUCCUGGGAGAGCCUAGACACCCCGUGUCCUCCAGGAGCCUCAGCCCAGGAGAGGACACAUGGGGGCCUUAGCUCCAAGCACGGGCUCCCGGCUGAGGACUAGGCCACGGCCCAACACCACCCAGCAGGUCUCCGCACGGGCCGCCCUGAGCCCCCACCUCGCCUCCCUGGCCCUCGUGCCCAGCCUAGGGCCUGCACGUGGGGGUCCCUCCUGGGACCUGCAUCAUGGCUGGAAGGAAGGGGGUGCCCGGGGGCCAGAGGCAGGAGCUGGAGAGAACUGGUAAGUGGCUAUGUUGUCUGCUGCCCGUGGCACAAGCUCAUCUCGGGCACGUCCUUAAACACGUGUGUCCCGGGAGCGCGAUGGACACCAUCCCAGGGCCCGAAACACAAACCGUACCAAGCGGAACCAAGAAUGCUUGAUGGGCACACACGCCAGGCACGUGUUUCGAGUCUCCUCCAGGCAGGAAGGGUCCCCGAGCCCCGCCUGGCCCUGGCCCGGCUCCCAGGAGAGGCGUCCCCUCCCAGCGACUCAGCGCCUCUCGUGGGCCAUCCUGAAUUGGUGGGGAGCGCAUGGGGCAGGGGGUUCUGGCCCCACCCUGUGACCGGGGCCUAGGGCCGUGCUGCUGGGCGCACAGGGGCGUGCUGGCGAAGGGGGUCUGCAAACAGCACCGUCCCUCGGCCGAGGCGGGUGCUCUCAGGAGCAGGGGAGCGCCCCAGGAAGCAGCCAGCACCCUGAGGCCGUGUGCACCCCCUCCCCCGGUGUGGGAGUCCCCCCUUCUGGCCGGGACCUGAGCAGACCUGAGCGGGACCCCGGCAGAGGCUACGGGGACCCACCGGGGCGGGGUGGCCUGCUUGCUGAUGAUUCCCUGCAGGUGCCCGACAGGGACACAGAGCGGAGUUGAGGUGUCCGGGGGGCUCCCUGCCUUGACACCCCGGGGAGACGAGCGGAACCUGCUGAGGCUCCCGUGACGCGCGGAGCCACGAGGUAUUCAGAGCCUUUCCCUGGUGACCCUCCCGCCACAGGCUCAGCAAUUGCCAAUUUUUCCGUCAGGGCUUCCCAGUCAGACACGCGGCGCUGCUGGAAGUGGCCCCGGGCCUGACGUCAGCCGUUGGCUCAACACGUGGGGCCGCUCGGUUGCGCGUGGCCCUGCGCCCGAUGCUCCCGGUGCAGGUCCCCGCGGAGAGUCAGGGUCUGGCACUCCUUGGCUUGGGGGGCCCAGCUCUGCUCGGAGAGGGAGGGGGUUUGGGGUGCCCCAUGCCUCGCCACCCAGCCCGGGGGUCCCCCGCACACGUGCACAUGGCGCCAGUCUCUAGGCAAGUCUUGAGACCCCCAGCUCCGGGACCAAGGACUCGGCCCUCCAGACGCCCUGCGGGGGGACCCACACUGUCGACACCCCAGCCCUGCGGCUGGCCUCCCUCCUGACACUCCCCUCGCCCUAAAACCCUGUGUCAGUGGUUGCUGGCUGCAUGGACGCACCCCUCCUUUCCGUCUACAUCUGGAAGUGAGCCAACGAGGGCGCCGACCUCCAACCUCAGCCUUCAGGGUGUGUCUUGAAGGGUUUUUCCCAAAUUAAAAAAUAAAGUAUAAGCAUUUAAGGGUUACUUUAUAUUCUUGAG